GGACCCGGGCCGGGCGCCCGGAGAGGCGGAGUUGCGGCGUCGCCCUUCGCCACAGCUCGCGGCAGCCGCGCCUCGGGGGCGGGGGAGGUGGUGACAGAGCCGCAGGGGUCUUGGGGCCCUGCAGAACCGUGGGCUGCUGGACUAGGCAAUCAGCAGAAGAACAUGGCGCCCUGGACACUCUGGCGCUGCUGCCAACGCGUAGUGGGCUGGGUUCCGGUGCUCUUCAUCACCUUUGUGGUCGUCUGGUCCUACUACGCGUACUGUUUCCAGAACAGGAGAAAAAGGAAAGACCGUUGUUUACCUUGUGGCUUUCCAUCUGUUCUUUGUUAUGUUUGUAUGGUCCUAUUGGAUGACAAUUUUCACAUCUCCCGCUAGCCCCUCCAAAGAGUUCUACUUGUCAAACUCUGAGAAGGAACGUUAUGAGAAGGAAUUCAGCCAAGAAAGACAGCAAGACAUUUUGAGAAGAGCAGCAAGAGACUUGCCUGUCUACACCACGUCAGCUUCAAAAGCUAUCCGAUAUUGUGAAAAAUGUCAGUUGAUUAAACCUGACCGGGCCCAUCACUGCUCAGCAUGUGACAGAUGUGUUCUUAAGAUGGAUCAUCACUGUCCAUGGGUGAAUAACUGUGUGGGAUUUACUAAUUACAAGUUCUUCAUGCUGUUUUUGUUGUAUUCUCUGCUGUAUUGCCUUUUCGUGGCUGCAACAGUUUUAGAGUAUUUUAUAAAAUUUUGGACGAAUGAACCAACAGUUUUAACGUUCCCCAGCGCAAAGUUCCCCAGCGCAAAGUUCCAUGUUCUGUUCCUGUUCUUUGUGUCUGCAAUGUUCUUCGUCAGUGUGCUUUCACUGUUCAGCUACCAUUGCUGGUUGGUUGGAAAAAAUAGAACAACAAUAGAAUCAUUUCGUGCACCUAUGUUUUCUUAUGGAAUAGAUGGAAAUGGUUUCUCUCUUGGAUGCAGUAAAAAUUGGCGACAAGUCUUUGGUGAUGAAAAGAAAUAUUGGCUAGUUCCAAUAUUUUCAAGCUUGGGUGAUGGUUGCAGUUUUCCAACUCGCCUUGUGGGGAUGGAUCCAGAACAAGCGUCUAUUGCAAACCAGGGUGAAUACAUCAGAAGAUCUAAACUGCAGAGGUAGAAAGCAGAAAACUUGGGAGAUGACAGUAUUGGCUCAAAUCAACCUUUUCCUAUCAAACCACUUAGUGAGUCAAAAAACCGUUUGUUGGACAGUGAAUCUCAGUGGCUAGAGAAUGGAGCUGAGGAAGGAAUCACCAAAUCAGGGACAAAUAACCAUGUUACAGUGGCAAUAGAAAAUUGAGUACUGCCUGUUCAUAACUAACCAUUUGAUGAGUGAAAGGUAUAUAAAAACACAUUUUGGACUAUUUUCAGUUUUAUUUGGAAGAAAAUGAUGGAUGGAAUGAAAUACUCGCAGUAUAACAGAAGAUAUAUUUUUAAAAGGACGUGUUUGUACAGUGAUGGCUCCACAGAAGCACUACAAAGCAGAAAGAUGCCUUAAUUCUUAGUGUCCAUUGUGUAACAUUGCCUCACAGCUCAAAAGUGACUUAAUUCUUAGUGUCCAUUGUGUAACAUU
rnacentral:lncRNA from 1 species